CGCCUGGCUAAUUUUUGUAUUUUUAGUAGAGAAAGGGGGUUUCGCCAUGUUGGCCAGGCUGGUCUCGAACUGCUGACCUCAGGUGAUCCGCCUGCCUCAGCCUCCCAAAGAGCUGGGAUUACAGGAGUGAGCCACCACGUGGAGCUAGGCAGUUUUAAGAGUGAUCAAUAAUGUAUGAGACACGCUCCUUUCUAGUAGGUGCUGCUUAAAUCAUAAUUAGUGUCAUUGUCGCAUGGAACCUACAGCAUCCAACGUAAGAGGCUUUGAAAAGUGCUUCUGGGCCGGACAAGGUGGCUUCCCCCUGUAAUCCCAGCAACUCUUGGGGCUGAAGUGGGAGGAUUGCUUGAGGCCAGGAGUUCAAGCACAGUCUGGGAAACGUGGCAAGAGCUCAUCUCUAAAAAAUAAAAUCAAUUAGCCAGGCAUGGUGAUGCCCACCUGUAGUCUUAGCGACUCAGGGGGCUGAGACACGAGAAUUGCUUGAGCCCAGGAGUUUAAGCCUCCAGGGAGCUGUGAUCACAGCACGGUACUCUAGCCUGGGCAACAAAAGAGACCCAGUCUCUUUUAAAAAUUUAAAAAUAAAAUAAGAAUGAAAGUGCUCUGAAGUGAUGAGGACCGCAAUGGAGCGUCAACAGCAGGCUAGGAAAUCAUAGCACGUGCUCCUCCACUGAGAGAAACCUCCUCCGUGCGCCCCCUGCUCCUGCCUAAGCUCCUCUGCAGAAGGACCUUCAAAGCCUGGGGCAAGCUCCCCCGCAGGUGCUGCACAAUGAUAAAUCCUGAUGCAUAAGAGCCCCAGACAAGGCUAAUGGGCCACGCGUGGGAAGCCAGGAGGUAAUUGAAUGGAGAGAUUUCCCUGGGUGGCUGGGAGGGCUGCUCCACGCUGAACCAUGCCAAGCUCCACUGCUCACAGAGGAUCUGGCCAGCGCCCGCAGGAAGUGGGUGAAAGAACAUUCACUGGUAGAAAAGAGUGCAGCCUCCCAGGGGAGCUUCCCAUAGGGCCAAAGAGCUCGCACUCCAGCUCCUCGGUGGCACCCCGGAUUAGUUGAAAGGCUGCCCUCAUUGGUGCCCGCCCAGAGGACUCCUGAUACAUCAGAUGAGGCCUGGGCAGGCAGGUGGGAAGCACAAACCCACAGGCAGCUGAGAACAGAUACAAAUCCUCUCCUCCAUCCAAACAGAAGACCAUUUGUUCCUUCUCCGUUGGGGUGGGCACUGAGGAAGGCAGUUUGUUGCAGAGUGGAGCAGACAGCAAGCUGACUGCUGUCCCCAGAUUGCCGCCCACACCUAACCAGGACUAGCCCUGGGAGCAAGGAGGGAAAAUGUAGGACAGUGACCAACGGUGGCCCUGCGGAUGGGUGAGCACACUCCUACUCCUUCACACAGCUCAUACCAGGCACCAGAUCCCAGUGAUGCUGUGUCAUCCACAGCACACCAGCGGUUACACCUGAGGUUCCCAAAGAAGUAAUGGAUUUGGCAUUUUCUUUUUUUCUUUCUUUUUUCUUUUUUUUUUUUGAGACAGAGUCUCACUUUUGUUGCCCAGGCUGGAGUGCAAUGGGACGAUCUUGGCUCACAGUAACCUCUGCCUCCUGGGUUUAAGUGAUUCUCCUGCCUCAGGCUCCCGAGUGGCUGGGAUUACAGGCAUGCGUCACCAUGCCCAGCUAAUUUUGUAUUUUUAGUAGAGACGGGGUUUCUCCAUGUUGGUCAAGCUGGUCUUGAACUCCUGACUUCUGGUGAUCCACCCGCCUUGGCCUCCCAAAAUGCUGGGAUUACAGGCAUGAGCCACCGCACCUGGCCGGAUUUGGCAUUUUCUUUUCUUUUUCUUUUUUUUUUUUUUUUUUUUU
rnacentral:lncRNA from 1 species